rnacentral:rRNA from 1 species
GGGCUACACACGUGCUACAAUGGCGGUGACAGUGGGAAGCCAGGUGGUGACACCGAGCCGAUCUCAAAAAGCCGUCUCAGUUCGGAUUGCACUCUGCAACUCGAGUGCAUGAAGGUGGAAUCGCUAGUAAUCGCGGAUCAGCAUGCCGCGGUGAA